GGAAUAAUAAUAAUAAUAAAAUUCUCAUCUAACCAGUCACUGUUCAUUCACACGUAGGUUAAUUAAUUAAUUUAUUUUUCUUAAAGCUUUAUUAUCAUUAUUACUUUUGUUUUUUUCCUUUGAAGAAAGGCUUCAUUUAGGAAUUUUCUUUCAUUACCCAAUUAAAUUGGCUGUAAAUGAUAUAUACUUAGACGGCAUUAUGCUGUGGAUAAUAUCGAAAUUUAUUUAAGAUUUAAACCUUAACUUUUAGAUUGGUAGAUAUGAAAACAGAAUGUUUUCCUCCGCCACAUCGGUGGUCAGAAUUUAAUAUAUUUUGUUCUAUCCACCUCUCCUCGUUAUAUCCCUCAGUUAAAAAAUUUUAAAAAUAAUAAUUUUAUAAAAAAUCAUCUCCUUCCUCUCAACCAAAACUUUUUGAAUCCACGGUUGAUUUUUUUUCUUAAACUCCAUCAUCAACAACUUCAACAACUGAAGUAGCAACAAUAAAAUCCAAUUAAAACUAUAAAAAUCUUGAAGCUAUGGUACUUUGCCUUCGAUGUCUAGCACAACUUAAAGGUCUGCGUUUGUUAAGCACCACAAUCUCGGCUCUUCCUCUAAGUUUCUCCCUCUAUAUAUCAUUCACCCUCUCGAUCUUUCGUCACAGUACCACCAAACACUAGUGCACCACCUAUUUAUUGUCCCUCUCAAUCUUCAUUUCUCCCUUUAGGAGGGUUGAGAGUAUGUUUCAGUCCUCAUUCAAUUGGUGUUUGGCGUGCAAUGAUAAUAGCCUCAAAUAUGGCAUUUGUGCAUUCUUAUUCGUUGGCUGGGUUCAAUUUCCAAAAACUUUGGUUGAGGAGGAGAUAUGGAUGUUAUGUUGGUUUUUUCGGUGGCAAUGGUGGCGUGGUUUCUGUGUUAUUGUAGGAUCUGUUUAUCUUUUGAUUACGUCUCCAUUGCUAGAUGAUAUUGGUUAUUGCGUGGCGACUUAUACUUAGCUGGGAAUGAGUACUUGUAUGAUGUGAACUUCAUAAAUCAUUUUAAGGUUAGCAAAGAUGAACUUCAUAGCCUUUUUUAAACCAAGCAGAGGCUAUGACUAGUUUAUCGAAGAGAAAUAGAAAAGAUAGUGGAGACAGAGCAUUUGAUGAAGGCAAAUAUAUAUGUGUGUGUACAUAUAUUUUAUAUAUCCUUGUUAUUGUUUUGUGUUGUGUAGUUUUGAAUUGUUGUGAUUGUCUUUUAGUCUUUUUAUUUUUUUACUUUUUAUGAAAUGCAUUAUGUAAAUUCAAUGUAAUUGGACGGCAUAUUAAUUAUAGGGAAUUCAAUCGACCAACUUAGGAAGCAAUUUCCAAUAGUUUU